GGAGCCGCGGGGUCCGGCGCCUCCCGCGGGGCUGGCUGAGGCGGAGCCGCGGGGUCCGGCGCCUCCCGCGGGGCUGGCUGAGGCGGAGCCGGAUCCGCUCCCUCCCGGCGUGGGGGAAGCGGAGAAUUCCGCGGUGAAGUGGGCGGGGCCGGCCCGGAAAGCGGCGGGCUCGGCUCCCCAUCCCCCCCAAGAGAAGGAGCGGCGGGGGAAGGUAGAUCUGUUUGCUCCAAGGGAGCGGAGAAAAACUUUUGCUCAGCUGUGGGCAGUGCGGGGGGAAUGCAAACUCGCGGUUCGUCUUCUUUGAGAGGCUUCUCUCGUGCCGAAGCUGGCGGGGACAGAAAACGACUGCGCGCCCGAGCCAUGAUGUCCCUCGCAUUGUGCCAUUUUGCGAAAAUAACAAAAUAAAUGUGCAUGUGCACUAGAAACACCUCUGGGUACCCAACACCCUGGCCUUCUGCCCAAUGAAAAGCAGUGUUCAAGACCUCCCAAAAAUCUAAAUCAAGGGAGUAAACGACAUUUGUAAAAAAAUCUAUGAAAUUUUGCCCAUCUGAAAAACUCAUAACACUCUCUCUCCCACGUAUGAUGAGUAAUUCUGUCCUCGCGUCCCCAUCUGCACCAGAAUUUAAUAACUUUCUCCUCUGACGCAGUAAACGGAACCUGAGCUUCCGAAGGUACAUUUUCCCAACUUUCCUCCCACCUUUUGCGAAUGGCAGGAUCUUCAGAAAGGGAAAAAAUAACAGUACCUCUAGACAGUGUCCUUGUGGAUCCAGCUGUGCAGCUCUGCUGCUCUGCGGUCUCUGGACACAAUCUCCAGGAAAGUCCAACAGGUUCUCCUGUUCGCCUUGGCUGUGAACUCUGCCCAUCUUCAGGGUCUCGUUUCUUCAGCUCCAGGCUAGAUUCCAUGGUCACUCUUGGGGUGACCAUCAGUUUCACACGUCCAGGGGUCACCAAUUGUUGCUUUGACUUGGGCCCCUGGUGCGAGGACACGAGGCUUGACUCCAUGUUGAUCAGAAGGCUGAUUUAUUAUGAUAUAUAUUAUACUAAAAUGCUACAUUACAACUAUACUAAAAGAACAGAGAGAAAGAUCAGAAGGCUACAAAGACAAGAAUAGAAUAGGAAUGAAUAACAAAAAUCCUGUGACUGCGCACAGCCUUGGCACAGGUGGCUGUGAUUGGUUACUGAUUGAAAACAAUCCACAUGGACCAAUGGAAGAUUCACCUGUGGCACUCCACAGCAGCAGACAGUUAUGGUUUACAUUUCUUUCCUGGGGCCCUCAGCUCCUCAGGACAGGAAAAAUCCUAGCAGAGGCUUUUUCACUAAAAAUCCUGGCAACAGAACGUUGUCAAUACAAUUUUUGUGAAAUCUACAUGAGAAUCUGAGGAGAUUACUACACAGCUUGGAUGCUAGAGGAACUUCUGCAAAUAGGUUACAGGGUAUUUAUUUAACUGAUUCAGAACUUUGCUUCAGCUGGCAAUAGUUCAAGAAUUUUAUUUUCUAGUGUCUUUUGGUGGCCCACAUUAAAAAACAAAAAAAAAACCACAAAACAAAAAAAAAACCAAAGAACAAGUUCUGUCCUUUUCCAAUUUCAAACAGAUAUUCUUUUUCUUUACCCAUGAAUUAUGACAAAGCAAGUGACGUUCAAAGUCAGCAUUCAGAAAGAGCCCUGAGAAGAGACUAGAUGUAUGCCAAUUCCCUCUUGCUAUUCAGCUGAUUUUAUAUACUAGCUUUCUGUGUCUCUAGCUUUUUAUAUGAUCUCUGUUACUACAGCCACUUCCAAAUCUUGGUAAAAAUUAGUAAUUUCUCCACCUUCACUUUGUGGGAAAUUGUGGGGGCAAAAAAGUAGCAUUGUUUAGUCCAAGUUCAAGCAGAAAAACAGAAAUUCAGAAAUACAUUCUGACCCUUGGCCAGUUUUAAUUUUUAUUUAACAGCACCCACAAGGACACCGUCCCCAAGUGAGGGGAGUGGGGCACGCAGAACUCACCGAUUGUGAGGUCACGGGCACAUCUCCAGGGAGGCCUGAGGAAGGAUUGGAAGGCUUUGUCAGGAGGAGAAAGGCCGGCAGUGCUGUGGCACAGACCGUCCAGACAUUCCUCCGUACCCACAAUGGUGCAGCAGAACGCUGCUAAGAAGCGUCCCCCUGGCAAGGAGCGAGAGGCAGACGCAGAGAGCGGCAGCUGCCUCUCCGGACAUGCCAGGCCGGACCAGGCUCGUCGCCUUGGAGACGUUCAUGGAGACAGCAAGCACAAGACUCGGGCAGCCAGAAAGGAAAACGC